ensembl:miRNA microRNA 21
UGUACCACCUUGUCGGGUAGCUUAUCAGACUGAUGUUGACUGUUGAAUCUCAUGGCAACAGCAGUCGAUGGGCUGUCUGACAUUUUGGUAUC